rnacentral:rRNA from 1 species
GUUUGACCUCAAAUCAGGUAGGAUUACCCGCUGAACUAAAGCAUAUCAAUAAGCGGAGGAAAAGA